rnacentral:tmRNA from 1 species
GGGGGCGCACUGGCUUCGACUCGUAGUUUGAAGCGCUGGCGGCAUGUCGAGGAUGGUUCGUUGGCCUCGUUAAAAUCCGGACCAAAACAAAUAAACGCAGAUCACCAAGAUCUCGCUCUCGCGGCUUAAUUGACCGCGAUGUUUCCGGUUAGAUGCCUGCUAUGGCCGGGAACAUGGACAGCAGGAUAGUCGUCCGGCGGAGCGACCGCGCCGGACGGCGAAGGAUUUCGCGGAUGCUCGGGGACCGGCAGUGUGCCGGCGCAAAGCUCGGCCCCUUAAAUAUUUUCACCGGCUACACAUGUAGAAGCUUGCGUCGAUAGCUUCGAGGACAGGGGUUCAACUCCCCUCGCCUCCAAAA